rnacentral:rRNA from 1 species
GACGAACGCUGGCGGCGUGCCUAAUACAUGCAAGUUGAGCGCUUAAGGUUGGUACUUGUACCAACUGGAUGAGCAGCGAACGGGUGAGUAACGCGUGGGGAAUCUGCCUUUGAGCGGGGGACAACAUUUGGAAACGAAUGCUAAUACCGCAUAAAAACUUUAAACACAAGUUUUAAGUUUGAAAGAUGCAAUUGCAUCACUCAAAGAUGAUCCCGCGUUGUAUUAGCUAGUUGGUGAGGUAAAGGCUCACCAAGGCGAUGAUACAUAGCCGACCUGAGAGGGUGGUCGGCCACAUUGGGACUGAGACACGGCCCAAACUCCUACGGGAGGCAGCAGUAGGGAAUCUUCGGCAAUAGACGAAAGUCUGACCGAGCAACGCCGCGUGAGUGAAGAAGGGUUUCGGAUCGUAAAACUCUGUUGGUAGGGAAGAACGUUGGUGAGAGUGGAAAGCUCAUCAAGUGACGUUAACUACCCAGAAAGGGACGGCUAACUACGUG